GACGAACGCGGGCGGCGUGCCUAAUACAUGCAAGUCGAGCGAAGUUUUUCUGGUGCUUGCACUAGAAAAACUUAGCGGCGAACGGGUGAGUAACACGUAAAGAACCUGCCUCAUAGACUGGGACAACUAUUGGAAACGAUAGCUAAUACCGGAUAACAGCAUUAACUGCAUGGUUGAUGUUUAAAAGUUGGUUAUGCUAACACUAUGAGAUGGCUUUGCGGUGCAUUAGCUAGUUGGUGGGGUAAAGGCCUACCAAGGCGACGAUGCAUAGCCGACCUGAGAGGGUGAUCGGCCACACUGGGACUGAGACACGGCCCAGACUCCUACGGGAGGCAGCAGUAGGGAAUCUUCCGCAAUGGGCGAAAGCCUGACGGAGCAACGCCGCGUGAGUGAAGAAGGAUUUCGGUUCGUAAAGCUCUGUUGUUAGGGAAGAAUGAUAUGUAGAACUAUACAUAGAGAGACG
rnacentral:rRNA from 1 species